CAACCCCCAUGCGCAGGCGCAGCACACCGAGUGGACAUUUUGGUCUUUGUCUUCUGGUCAGCCGGCCCCUGGGUCCACGUGGCGUGAAAGUAGGAGCCAGCUGUUUCAUAUCGAAAUUAAUCCUACAAAUGUAUCUGCAUUUGCAUUGAAUUAUACAGGUGGAAACAAGCUUUGGAGUCAGACGGCCUCUGUUAACUCCUUCCUCUGCCACUUUGUACCCUCGUAACCUUAGGUACUUAAACCUUAUGCCUCAAUUUCUCAUCUAGUAAUAUAGAGAAAAUAAUAGUAUUAGAUUCAUAGGGUGGUUGUUCAGAUCAUGGAGUUCUGAAUUCUAUAGAAUAGUUCCUGAUAUAUAGUAAGUACUGGAUAAAUGUUAAAUAGUAUUGUUAUUGCCAUGUGCAAAAUAAUACUUCCUCAGAAAUAGUAUAGUUAUUUGUACUAUUUCUGGUAGAAAUUUCUGAAAGAUUCAGAUGUGUACAUGCUCCUUUCUUAUUUCUACCUUUAAACAUUUUGGGGUGAGGGGCAUUUCUUUUUAUAAUUGGAAUGAAGAAGUUAGCUUUCUGGGUUCAAGUUACAUUCAUCUUAGAAACUCAUCACCACCACCUUCAGGAACUUUGUUCUUUGAUUUCUAUGGUGGUUACUUUCUCAUGGUCCUAAUUCAGAACCUCUGAUAUUUUUAAAAAAUUUCAAUUGUGACAUUUUAGGGACAGAAUAAGUAGGUAAUGAUCUUCAAAAUGCAUAAUAUCAGGAGAGACAUACUAUAUGACUGAGCAAACAUUAAAGAUUAUAUUUUUC